GCAGAGCUGUCCUUCCACUCCUCAUGGAUGUCCCUCCCACAGCAGCUGCAUCUUAAACAGGAAUCCAGCUGAAGCAGCAAGGCUGCCGUGGUACUUUACAGAUCAUGUAUCAUGAGAAGCAGUGUUGUGCUCACACCUUUGUACAGUUGUGGCUUCCAGCUCACUGUGAACCUGGCCCUGAGUCUCUGCUGGUGGUUUUGCUGCCUGUAUUAGGUAUUAUUCAGUUAUCUGGGACUUCUGAUACAAUCUUUGUACUGGCUUGAAAAUAUCAGCGUAUCACAUGGCAGGUAAAUCUCUUUUCUUAUCAAUAAAGAAAUAAAGCAGUUAAUUUCUAGCAUAUCAUUGCAAUGACAGCACUAACAAUAAAAAUUGAAGAGCAGUUACACUUAAUUGAAAGAUAAAUCUGGGAUGAUCCUUACCACUAGUGUAAGAAGCUACCCUCAUUUAUUCUGCCUCUCUCUCUCAUUGCAAUGAACUGCAUUUUUACCCUGACCCUUUGCUAGUUAUCUUUUCUGAUGCUGAAGAAUCAUAUCUUGUCUGCACCUCCCAGAAUGCUGAAAGGACUGUUGUGCUUCACCUGAUUGCAGACAAUA